CAGGACGGUGGUAGGUGCCACCCUGCCUGCGCUCCAGGGAGGGGCUGGAGCCCCCAGACCCGGCUCCUCUGGACCAGGGCUGCUGAAACCACGGCCCCUCUAUCCCCAAAACUGCCGGUGUCACCUUCUGGUCACCAAAGCCCAACCUCGGGCAUGCAAACGUCCCCGCUGGAGUGCCAGUGGGAGGAGACAGGCCAAUACAGGGUGAAAAAGGACAGCACUAAGGAGAAAACGGAGCAGAAAAGGGAGAAGGGGGUAACCUGGGACUUUGCCGGCUCGCCCUGCACUGGCUCCAGGGCCACCCUCCUCCCCUCAGCAGCUGCUCCUCAGGCCCCUUGGCUGUUGACGCCUCCGACCCCAGUCCCGAGCGGUCUGGGGGUGAGCUCAUCGCUGCACCUCUGGGUCUUCUCCCUCUGAAGGGCCCAGCAGCCUCUUGACUGUAAAUGCCUACUGCUCAUGAGGGACGCAGAAGGGCUGGGCUUCGCCCCUGAACCCAGACUCACGCGCCCAGGUGCCCACUCCACAGAGGAGGACCCCCAGCCUCACUCCUCGGCAGGAGACCUCAGGCUUCCCUAAAACCUGUCACGGGCAGUGGGACUGCUGCCACAAGGCACACAGACUCGUAGCUACUAAGUAACAGAAACUUGGCUCUCGCAUGUCUGGGGGCUGGAGGUCUAAGGUCAGGGUGCCAGCAUUGGAUGGGUUCUGGCGAAACUCUUUUCUUGGCUGCAGACCUCUCACGGUUCCUCACUGAUAGAAGGGGCUGGGGAGCUCUACGGGGUUUCUCUUACAGGCGCGAUAAUCCCAUCGUGAAGGACCCACACCCAUGAGCUAAUCACCUCCAAGGCCCACCUCCAAAUGCCAUCACAGUAGCACUUCAGUAUGCGUUUAGGGGAACACGGAUGUUCAGUCCACCGCUCCCUCUGCCCAGUCUCUCCCUGGACAGGUGGCAGCAACUCCACCCAUCAGGCCAAAAGUCAUGGCUGACGCCCUGCCUCCGCUGCUCAUAUGGACUCCAUCAGGUCCCACCUUGCAGAGUGGACAGAAUCUCGCCACCUCCUCCGCAACCUCUGACACCACCCUCCCCUUCCCCUGGACUGGCGCAGCCCCCUCCUCAGCAUUCUUGGUGCUGCACCAGAGUGAUCCCCUCUCAACGGAACAGGCUGUGCCCCUCCCCCAAUGGCUCCCGCCUCACUCCAGAUCCAGAGGCCCUGCGAGCCUGCUUCAGGCCAUGCUUCUGGACUCUGAGAAGGACAUUCGUGAGUCGAACAUUUCAUAGGGAGGCUCUCUGGGGCACGCCCUGAGGAAGGGACGAAAGGGGACCGAAUGGGGCAGCAGCAGAAGCUGAGCUGCGGGGAGGCCCAGGGAGGCUCUGGAGCUUGGAGGGCCCUGCAAAGACGCGCAGAGCAGGGCGAGGUACCACGUCUCUACACCCCUGUGUUGGUCAGACAUUGCAAGUGGGAUGCGCCUCAAAGGAAGUGUGACUUUGAGUGACACUGUUUCCGCAGCAGAGCCGGUCUCCAGGACAACCGUCCACUCUGCCAGCAGUUGGGAGAUGAAGUCCUUCCUUCUUCGAGGUGGGUCUGAACGUGCCUCAGGGCCUCAGCCACAUUCUGCCCCCUGAGCUGCUCACGUGGACAGCCCCUCCAGGACCCCAGGAGGCUCUCAGCCUGGGCGAGUGGGACGAAAUCUGGCUUCCGCUGCUGCAGCUGGUCUGAGGCCCAUCUCUCCUCCAGAAUCCAGCGUGCAGUCUUCUCACCCUCAGCCACGAGCUGGGCAAGGCCCGGUGGGUUACUGUGUGAGGCGGCCCCUUCUCUGAGAGACCUAGGCCUUGGUCACUGUGUGCUUUGGGGGCAAGGGAGCUGCCGUGGCCAUUUCCCGUCGAAACUGAGCAGAGGGAAGCUUGCUCCUACCCCACGUGGAGCAGCAGCCCUCCCUCCUCCUGGUCCAGAUCAAGGUGCCCUGCCUGUGACCCUGGCAUGAAAAUCUAAGAGGCAUUUGGAGCCCUUGGGUCAAGGGCACCUUGUUGCAUCUCCAGAUGGCAGCUCUCUCAGUUUGGGAAACAGAACUUCUGAACCCACAGAGCCCAGGGUAGCAGUGAUGGAGGGCAUGACUGCACUAGUAGUCUGGGAAGGGGCAAGAGGCCAUGCUACCCAGUCCUGCCCUGGGGCCCUGGACCCGUGUGUUCUACCUGCAGCCACACCGAACCUCAUAAAGUUCUUUAAUCUGAUGGCUAACUGGAGCCAGGUGGGGUUGCCCGCGCUCUGCUGGGUCCAGUGGGAUGGUAUGGUGUGGGACAGGACUGGCAGACCUGAGCCAGGGUUCCCAGGGUGGGGUGUAUGUUGUGGACUCCUGUGCAGGGUCGGCACCCAGAGUUCCUGAGAGGGGCAGCUGAGGUCUCGGAGUAGUACUGGCAGCUACACCCAGAAUACCUGCCCCCUCUGGGGGAAAGCGCCCACAAAAGUAACUUGCUUGAAGCUCUGCCCAAACCCUCCUCUCCCAGGUGUUCAGGCCCCCUUGAGUGGGUGACGUGCAGGCCCCACCUGUGUCCAGCCCCCUCCCUCACCCUCUGCGGACCCCUGGAGAACCAGGCUGGGAAUUCCUCCUUCCCCACCAUCUGGUCCCAAGGGGUUCCCUCUGCGGUCCCAGGUGUGAGCAGAGGCAUAAGCCUCGAGAAGCAGUGGUGGAUGACACCGGUCAGGGCAGCCUGCCCGUUUGACCUGGAGUGCUCCACAGCCAUCCUCAAGUGCACAGCGGCUGGACCAGACUGUCAACUGAGAGCGGCGUAGUGUGAGAGCUGGGAGAGGAGUUUUAUGAAAGGACUUGCUGAGGACUGUAGCCUGGGAAACAGCCUCUGGGUAGCUGAGAAACUAACACCACAUUCAAAGUGCCCCUCUGGGGGAGUUCCCGUCGUGGCGCAGUGGUUAACGAAUCUGACUAGGAACCAUGAGGUUGCGGGUUCGGUCCCUGCCCUUGCUCAGUAGGUUAACGAUCUGGCGUUGCCGUGAGCUGUGGUGUAGGUUGCAGACGCGGCUCGGAUCCUGUGUUGCUGUGGCUCUGGUGUAGGCCGGCGGCUGCAGCUCCAAUUGGACCCCUAGCCUGGGAACCUCCAUAUGCCGUGGGAGCGGCCCAAGAAAUAGC
rnacentral:lncRNA from 1 species